rnacentral:misc_RNA from 1 species
UUUCCGUAGGUGAACCUGCGGAAGGAUCAUUAAAGAGUAAGGGUCUUCGGGCCCGAUCUCCAACCCUUUGUUUAACUACCAUGUUGCUUUGGCGGGCCCGUCUCACGACCGCCGGAAGUUUGGCUUCGACCAAACUUCUGGCCCGUGCCCGUCAGUGGCCCCUUCAAAUUCUUGAUCAAGUAUGAUGUCUUAGUUAAAAACUUAAUAGUUAAAACUUUCAACAACGGAUCUCUUGGUUCCG